rnacentral:tRNA from 1 species
GGGCCUGUAGCUCAGGCGGACAGAGCAGAGGUUUCCUAAACCUCGUGCCGCAGGUUCGAGUCCUGCCAGGCCCACCA